rnacentral:rRNA from 1 species
AACGAACGCUGGCGGCAUGCCUAACACAUGCAAGUCGAACGAGACCUUCGGGUCUAGUGGCGCACGGGUGCGUAACGCGUGGGAACCUGCCCUUAGGUUCGGAAUAACUCCCCGAAAGGGGUGCUAAUACCGGAUAAUGUCUUCGGACCAAAGAUUUAUCGCCAUUGGAUGGGCCCGCGUUGGAUUAGCUAGUUGGUAGGGUAAAAGCCUACCAAGGCGACGAUCCAUAGCUGGUCUGAGAGGAUGAUCAGCCACACUGGGACUGAGACACGGCCCAGACUCCGACGGGAGGCAGCAGUGGGGAAUAUUGGACAAUGGGCGAAAGCCUGAUCCAGCAAUGCCGCGUGAGUGAUGAAGGCCUUAGGGUUGUAAAGCUCUUUUACCCGGGAUGAUAAUGACAGUACCGGGAGAAUAAGCACCGGCUAACUCCGUG